UAACCUACCUCAUAGUGGGGGAUAACAGUCGGAAACGACUGCUAAUACCGCAUAGGACAUAGGAUCACAUGAUCCAGUGAGGAAAGGUGGCGCAAGCUAUCGCUAAGAGAUGGACCCGCGGUGCAUUAGCUAGUUGGUAGGGUAACGGCCUACCAAGGCGAUGAUGCAUAGCCGACCUGAGAGGGUGAUCGGCCACAUUGGGACUGAGACACGGCCCAA
rnacentral:rRNA from 1 species